AUUGAACGCUGGCGGAAUGCUUUACACAUGCAAGUCGAACGGCAGCACGGGGGCAACCCUGGUGGCGAGUGGCGAACGGGUGAGUAAUACAUCGGAACGUGCCCGAGUCGUGGGGGGAUAACUACGCGAAAGCGUAGCCAAUACCGCAUACGAUCUACGGAUGAAAGCGGGGGAUCGCAAGACCUAGCGCUGGAAGAGGGGCCCGCGUCCGAUUAGCUAGUUGGUGAGGUAACGGCUCACCAAGGCAACGAUCGGUAGCCGGCCUGAGAGGGCGACGGCCACACUGGGACUGAGACACGGGCCCAGACUCCUACGGGAGGCAGCAGUAGGGAAUUGUUCGCAAUGGGCGCAAGCCUGACGACGCAAACGCCGCGUGGAGGAUGAAGAUUUUCGGAUCGUAAACUCCUUUCGAUCGAGACGAAUGGCCUCCGGGUGAAUACCCCGGAGGAAUGACGGUACCGAGAGAAGAAGCCCCGGCUAACUCCGUGACAGCAGCCGCAGUAAU
rnacentral:rRNA from 1 species